rnacentral:rRNA from 1 species
AUUGAACGCUGGCGGCAUGCUUUACACAUGCAAGUCGAACGGCAGCGAGGAGACGCUUGCUUCUCUGUCGGCGAGUGGCGAACGGGUGAGUAUAGCAUCGGAACGUGCCAAGUAGUGGGGGAUAACCAAACGAAAGUUUGGCUAAUACCGCGUAAGCUCUAAGGAGGAAAGUAGGGGACCUAAAUAAGGCCUUACGCUAUUUGAUCGGCCGAUGUCGGAUUAGCUAGUUGGUGGGGUAAUGGCUCACCGAGGCAAUGAUCCGUAGCGGGUCUGAGAGGACGAUCCGCCACACUGGGACUGAGACACGGCCCAGACUCCUACGGGAGGCAGCAGUGGGGAAUUUUGGACAAUGGGGGAAACCCUGAUCCAGCCAUGCCGCGUGUAUGAAGAAGGCCUUAGGGUUGUAAAGUACUUUUGUUAGGGAAGAAAAGCUAGUUUUUAAUAAAAAUUAGUGAUGACGGUACCUAAAGAAUAAGCACCGGCUAACUACGUG